UUUAAAGCCCACUUCCUCGGGAAAGUCAUUAUCCGUCCCAUCAACUGUCCAGCCAUAAGUGCCUGACGAUCUCUCUUUCCCAAAACUCCCUUUUCCAUCCAAAAAAUGGCUCCCCUGAUUUCCAAUUAGUCAUUUCCUUCAAAAAACAUUUCUCCGACGUUUUGAUUCCCAGGGAGCAAAAACUAUCUUCCUCACAAAGCUUUAGUCUGGUUCUCUGAUCCAAUCGUCUUCCAGAGCUUUAACUGCAUGACUUGGCACUGCACCUUCCAGGAUCUUAUACACUAAGGCAAGGAAGGUUCAGGAGGACGGGUAGCCCAUAGUGUACUCAAAGCUCGAAGACGGUGGAAGUAUUCUCCUAAAGCAAGUAAGCCUCGAGCUGCCUGACGAGUUGUCAGGAUGCGAGACAUCUGCUGUAGCGUUUCCUGCCGAAGUAGCCACUUGAGGAAUGUAACUAACUUCGUCCACUGGACCACCUGCCACGGUGGAAGACACAGUUUCCUGGAGUUUCUCCAUACCUUGCGAAAGGGCGUCUUCAGCUUGCUGACAAGAUUGUUUCAGGUUACAAACUUCCAAAAUUUGUUGUUCUGUCAAGGGGUCAAGCUGAGGCACCAACACCUAUAAUAAGCAUAUAAUCCUAGAUAAAUAUCAUUCAACAUUUAGCAAUAUAACUUGGAAUGGAAUUCCGAUGUAAAAAAUAUAAGGAAUUUCGCUUUUCAAGUAACACAUGAGUACAGAGUUACUUUGUUAAACAAGCCUUGACUAACCAAUAUGCUCAAUGACACUUGGCCAAGUUCGAUGCUUGUGUCGUGAAACUAAAUGUUUCACCGGUGAUAUGUAACUGUAGGAAACCCUAACAGAGAAUAAUUGCAAAAGGUUAUCAUAGAUAUUCAACGUACAUAA